GGGCAAUCAGUAGAGAGUCGGAAUCGCCAGUUGGCUCUCACUGUUGCAAUUAUGCCAAAUAGGUUAACAGCCGUUUCGUGCCUUUUGCUCGAAUUUUUGGCUUGCUUCGUUCGGCAACGUUUACCCCAGAUAUUACUAGGUGCUCCAUGAAUUGCACAACGGGGCUCAGGAGGAUCGGGGAGGAUAUGUUAGCGGUUGGGCAAUGUAAAUGAAACGCAACGACAAGCAACGGGCAAUUUAAUGUCUAUUUGCAUUCGACAACAACAACUGUGGAAGCAGCAGUAGAAGCAGCUACAGCAGCAACAAAAUGUAGAAUCAAGAGUCGGAGUCGGCGAAUAAACGAGUAAAUUAACGAGUAGUAGUUGAUAUCCCGGUCCGAGUACAGAGAGGCCUGCAGCUCAGCUUGAUUAGCUGAGAUCGUUUGCACGGAACACAUAUGUAUACAACAAGUUUCAGCUAGGGAAUCAACACCACAACAAUGCGCAAAGACGAUUGGAAUUACUGCAUGGCACUUAUCAAAAAGAUGUGGAAUGUCGGGAUAAACUACAAUCUGUUAAGUAUUUACUCUGCGUAUGCGUCACGCGCCGCUUUGCGUGUUCGUCUUCGCCUCACGUUUGUUUCUAACGCAAAAAUUGGUCGACUGUCGAUGCCGAUGAAUUCGGUGCCGUUGCCAUUAGCGCCCUUCACGGACCUGCGCAAUGAGGUGCCUUCUCUUUAGGCUCAGCAUACAGCGGAAUGUGGUGGCGUGAAGGCCCCUGUCAGCGAGCGCAUUUUUAUUCAAGCUGACUUGCUUGUAGCUUUCCCUGUGCUUUUCUUUAAAUAAAUCAAUCAAGUCAACAAUUGUACAACCGAACAAAUAUCGACGCAUUGGCAAGUUCUAUAAGUGCAAUUCAAUCGUUCAGCCGCCGAGUGGCCUUGUGUACGAUAAUAUUCAAUUCUUCACUAGCCUUUGGGUUGAUUCUUCUCCCAAUAUAUCAUUAAAAAAAAUAAAAGGUUUAGAGGAGAGAGCAAAACAAAUGUAAUCAAAAAACAAUAUACAAAGCGCGCACAUACGUAAGUCUGAAGGGUAACCUAAAUACAAAUUGUAACA